rnacentral:rRNA from 1 species
CCUACGGGAGGCUGCAGUGGGGAAUAUUGGACAAUGGGCGCAAGCCUGAUCCAGCAAUGCCGCGUGUGUGAAGAAGGCCUGCGGGUUGUAAAGCACUUUAAGCAGGAAAGAAGGGGUGAAAGUUAAUACCUUUCAUCAUUGACGUUACAUGCAGAAUAAGCACCGGCUAACUCCGUGCCAGCAGCAGCGGUAAUACGGAGGGUGCGAGCGUUGAGCGGAAUUACUGGGCGUAAUGCGAGCAGUCCCGGGUGAAAGCCCUGGGCUUAACCUGGGAACUGCGGUGGAUACUGUCGGGCUAGAGUGUGGUAGAGGUGAGUGGAAUUUCCGGUGUAGCAGUGAAAUGCGUAGAGAUCGGAAGGAACACCAGUGGCGAAGGCGGCUCCCUGGACUAACACUGACGCUGAGGUGCGAAAGCGUGGGGAGCAAACAGGAUUAGAUACCCGUGUAGUC